rnacentral:rRNA from 1 species
UACAGAGGGUGCAAGCGUUGUUCGGAAUCACUGGGCGUAAAGGGCGUGUAGGCGGUGGAGUGUGUCUGACGUGAAAUCCCUCGGCUUAACUGAGGAAGUGCGUCGGAAACUACUCCGCUUGAGUACGGGAGAGGAUGGCGGAAUUCCCAGAGUAGAGGUGAAAUUCGUAGAUACUGGGAGGAACACCAGAGGCGAAGGCGGCCAUCUGGCCCGUAACUGACGCUGAGACGCGAAAGCGUGGGGAGCAAACAGG